rnacentral:rRNA from 1 species
UACGAAGGUGGCAAGCGUUGUUCGGAAUCACUGGGCUUAAAGAGUACGUAGGCGGCCCAUCAAGUGCUUUGUGAAAUCCCCCGGCUCAACCGGGGAAUUGCUGAGCAUACUGUAGGGCUUGAGGCAGGUAGGGGCGCGUGGAACUCUUGGUGGAGCGGUGGAAUGCGUAGAUAUCAAGAGGAACGCCGGUGGCGAAAGCGAUGCGCUGGGCCUGUCCUGACGCUGAGGUACGAAAGCUAGGGGAGCAAACGGG